UACGGGGGGGCAAGCGUUGUUCGGAAUUACUGGGCGUAAAGGCUCGUAGGUGGCCAACUAAGUCAGACGUGAAAUCCCUCAGCUUAACUGGGGAACUGCGUCUGAUACUGGAUGGCUUGAGUUUGGGAGAGGAUGCGGAAUUCCAGGUGUAGCGGUGAAAUGCGUAGAUAUCUGGAGGAACACCGGUGGCGAAGGCGGCAUCCUGGACCAACACUGACACUGAGGAGCGAAAGCCAGGGAGCAAACGGG
rnacentral:rRNA from 1 species